rnacentral:rRNA from 1 species
GUCCACAGCCCUGCUAUCCUGAACAAGCCUGAUCCUGUUUGAUCUCAGAAGCUAAGCAGGAUUGGGCCUGGUUAGUACUUGGAUGGGGGACCACCUAGGAAGACCAGGUGCUGUAGGCA